rnacentral:RNase_P_RNA from 1 species
CGAGUAAGCUGUGCGGACGAGGAAAGUUUAUUCUUUCUUAGGAAAGUCCGGGCACCAAAGGGCAUGGAUAGCUGCUAACGGCAGCCGAGGGCGACCUCAGGGCAAGUGCAACAGAGAUAUACCGCCGGAGCGUAAGCUUCGGUAAGGAUGGAAAGGCGAGGUAAGAGCUCACCCGCCGCUCCGAGAGAGAGCGGUGCUGUAAACCCUAUCCGGUGCAACGUCAGGGGCUUUUGCUCCCGGUGUUCUUUCAUACAGUUUAUGUUUUGCAUAAACUCGUCUGCCCGACGGUAUGAAUACAUCAGAACGGCUCGAUUUGCGCGGCGACGCGUAAACAAGAUAGAUGUUCGCGCACGACAAAACCCGGCUUACAGGCUUACUCGUUCG